rnacentral:rRNA from 1 species
UACGUAGGGUGCAAGCGUUGUCCGGAAUUAUUGGGCGUAAAGAGCUCGUAGGCGGUUUGUCGCGUCUGCUGUGAAAACUCGGGGCUUAACUCCGGGCCUGCAGUGGGUACGGGCUGACUAGAGUGCGGUAGGGGAGACUGGAAUUCCUGGUGUAGCGGUGAAAUGCGCAGAUAUCAGGAGGAACACCGGUGGCGAAGGCGGGUCUCUGGGCCGUAACUGACGCUGAGGAGCGAAAGCGUGGGGAGCGAACAGG